GACGAACGCUGGCGGCGUGCUUAACACAUGCAAGUCGAACGGAAAGGCCCUGCUUUUGUGGGGUGCUCGAGUGGCGAACGGGUGAGUAACACGUGAGUAACCUGCCCUUGACUUUGGGAUAACUUCAGGAAACUGGGGCUAAUACCGGAUAGGAGCUCCUGCUGCAUGGUGGGGGUUGGAAAGUUUCGGCGGUUGGGGAUGGACUCGCGGCUUAUCAGCUUGUUGGUGGGGUAGUGGCUUACCAAGGCUUUGACGGGUAGCCGGCCUGAGAGGGUGACCGGCCACAUUGGGACUGAGGUACGGCCCAGACUCCUACGGGAGGCAGCAGUGGGGAAUAUUGCGCAAUGGGCGGAAGCCUGAUGCAGCAACGCCGCGUGCGUGAUGACGGCCUUCGGGUUGUAAACCGCUUUCGCCGGUGACGAAGCGUGAGUGACGGUAAUGGGUAAAGAAGCACCGGCUAACUACGUG
rnacentral:rRNA from 1 species